GAAAAUGGACUUACCCCGUCCAAUCUCCUAAACUAGAUUAUUUCAGACCUAAUAGAAUCAAGAAUCCUCCUUUUUAAUGCAAUUCUAGCGGAAGGCCAUAAUUCCCUCCAUCGGUAACCUUGAGUCUCCUACACUUUAAGAAGUCUCCUACAACUUAAGCAUGAGAAGGAGUUAUUCUCUUCACAUCGACCCUCACCCAAUCAAUGAGUCUUUAUAUUGUAACCUAUAUGAAGGUCACGCAGCAUACUAUAAACAAUUCUCAAUAAGACACGCACCGAGUUUGGGUUCAUUAUCUAUCACAGGUAUAGAUCAAGAAGCCAUGAUUAAAUGACUAGGAGAGGUGUGUUGUUUGAG